rnacentral:lncRNA from 12 species
GCUUAUUUCCCACCAACAUCUAAGCCAUGUAACGAGGGUAAAAGAAACCCUCUGACAGUCUGAGGCACCCCCAGAAUCAACAGUUCAUUGGUUUUUAAGAGCAUUAAGGCCCAGAAAUGAAUGCUGCAGGAAACUUUAUCUGGGAGCUGACUGACUGAUGGAUGGGGCAAACCACAAUGAUGAGUUCAGCACAUGCCAGGAUGAAGAGUGAACCAAUAUUUUCUGGAGGGACUCUUCCACCAUCUGCAGCAUCCCACAAAUGGAAAAAUCCUUCCAAUGACUGCG